UAACGCGUGGGAAUCUGCCCUGGAGUGGGGGAUAACCGAGGGAAACCUCGGCUAAUACCGCAUACGGCCUGAGGGCGAAAGAUUUAUCGCUCUAGGAGGGGCCCGCGUCGGAUUAGCUUGUUGGCGGGGUAACGGCCCACCAAGGCUAUGAUCCGUAGCUGGUCUGAGAGGAUGAUCAGCCACACUGGGACUGAGACACGGCCCAGACUCCUACGGGAGGCAGCAGUGGGGCUUUUUGGACAAUGGGCGCAAGCCUGAUCCAGCAAUGCCGCGUGAGUGAUGAAGGCCUUAGGGUUGU
rnacentral:rRNA from 1 species